rnacentral:rRNA from 1 species
AGCGGCGCUAUACAUGCAAGUCGAGCGGACAGAAGGGAGCUUGCUCCCGGAUGUUAGCGGCGGACGGGUGAGUAACACGUGGGUAACCUGCCUGUAAGACUGGGAUAACUCCGGGAAACCGGAGCUAAUACCGGAUAGUUCCUUGAACCGCAUGGUUCAAGGAUGAAAGACGGUUUCGGCUGUCACUUACAGAUGGACCCGCGGCGCAUUAGCUAGUUGGUGGGGUAAUGGCUCACCAAGGCGACGAUGCGUAGCCGACCUGAGAGGGUGAUCGGCCACACUGGGACUGAGACACGGCCCAGACUCCUACGGGAGGCAGCAGUAGGGAAUCUUCCGCAAUGGACGAAAGUCUGACGGAGCAACGCCGCGUGAGUGAUGAAGGUUUUCGGAUCGUAAAGCUCUGUUGUUAGGGAAGAACAAGUGCGAGAGUAACUGCUCGCACCUUGACGGUACCUAACCAGAAAGCCACGGCUAACUACGUGCCAGCAGCCGCGGUAAUACGUAGGUGGCAAGCGUUGUCCGGAAUUAUUGGGCGUAAAGGGCUCGCAGGCGGUUUCUUAAGUCUGAUGUGAAAGCCCCCGGCUCAACCGGGGAGGGUCAUUGGAAACUGGGAAACUUGAGUGCAGAAGAGGAGAGUGGAAUUCCACGUGUAGCGGUGAAAUGCGUAGAGAUGUGGAGGAACACCAGUGGCGAAGGCGACUCUCUGGUCUGUAACUGACGCUGAGGAGCGAAAGCGUGGGGAGCGAACAGGAUUAGAUACCCUGGUAGUCCACGCCGUAAACGAUGAGUGCUAAGUGUUAGGGGGUUUCCGCCCCUUAGUGCUGCAGCUAACGCAUUAAGCACUCCGCCUGGGGAGUACGGUCGCAAGACUGAAACUCAAAGGAAUUGACGGGGGCCCGCACAAGCGGUGGAGCAUGUGGUUUAAUUCGAAGCAACGCGAAGAACCUUACCAGGUCUUGACAUCCUCUGAAACCCUAGAGAUAGGGCUUUCCCUUCGGGGACAGAGUGACAGGUGGUGCAUGGCGUCGUCAGCUCGUGUCGUGAGAUGUGGGUAGUCCCGCACGAGCGCACCUUGGAUCUAGUGCAGCAUUCAGUGGCCUCUAAGUGACUGCGUGACAAUCGAAGGAGGUGGGGAUGACGUCAAUCAUCAUGGCCCCCU